rnacentral:rRNA from 1 species
GUGCCAGCCGCCGCGGUAAAACGUAGGACGCAAGCGUUAUCCGGAGUUACUGGGCGUAAAGCGCGGGCAGGCGGUCGAUUAAGUCUGAUGUGAAAUCUCCCGGCUCAACCGGGAGCAGCCAUUGGAAACUAGCCGACUGGAGUCUGACAGAGGUAGGCGGAAUUCCGGGUGGAGUGGUGAAAUGCGUAGAGAUCCGGAGGAACACCAGAGGCGAAGGCGGCCUACUGGGUCAGUACUGACGCUGAGCCGCGAAAGCCAGGGGAGCGAACGGGAUUAGAAACCCUCGUAGUCC